ACCCGCUGAAUUUAAGCAUAUCAGUAAGCGGUGGAAAGCAAACUAAACAGGAUUCUCUUAGUAACUGCGAGUGAACAGAGAUUAGCCCAACAUCGAAGCCACCAUGCAUUUGUAUGGGAGGCAAUGUGAUGUUUUGGUGUUUGAACGCACUGUCUGGCUAACUUGAAGUCCAUAUUUGACUGUGGCUUGUAUUUAUACACCCAGAGAUGGUGAUAGGCCCGUUCAGGUUGGUAUUCUGGCAUGACAGUUCAGUGUGUAAUCAUUCAUCAUAGAGUCGGAUUGCUUGAGAGUGCAGUCCAAAAUGGGUGGUAAACUCCAUCUAAGGCUAAAUACCUGUACGAGUCCGAUAGUCAACAAGUACCGUGAGGGAAAGUUGAAAAGUAUCCUGAAGAGA
rnacentral:rRNA from 1 species